GGGGCUGCGAUUGUAGCAGCGGCAACGGCGGCGGCUGUGGCAGCUGCGUUUGGGAAAGAAAAAGAAGGAAUGAGAGUACGAGAGAGCAGGUGACUGUGCCUCGAUGUUCGACACGUGGUGUAGUUGCGAAGAAAGGAAGAAAACGGGAGCACAAAACGAAACAGAGAGAGGACACGGAGGAAAAGUAGAAGGAUUUGGGCUGGCACCUUCUUUGGAUCUUCGGAUCGAAAUCUUUGAAAGGUCAGCUUGUCACUCUUCGAGAUGUUUGAUUUGGGCUGAGGCAGUGGAUAGCUAUUCAGAAUAAUGGGCAAGUCUGGUUGGUUAUUACGAUAUUGUUGUAUAAGUAUGUCUUGUAUAUAAUGAAAUGUUGUCGAUGAACCGAAAUAGAUAUACUGUGUCCAAGUGUUAGGAGAUCUCUCUUAUUUGGAAUUUCAGAAUGUUAAGUCUAAUUUAUGGUGAUAUGAACUUGUGGUGAA